CAGCGACUCAAGCGCGAGGAGUCCGCAGCCCCGCCGUGACACAGCCCGGCCCCCGAGGCGCAGAGUUCUCCUGUCGAAAACUCUCACCUAAAUCAGUGUUACAGCCUCCACGGAACAGCUGGAGGGGUCUUACCAGAGCACACGAGGAUGAACCUGCCUAAGAGACUGGAUUCCUGAGCACGAAGCAGAGUUUGAAAUGAAUCCUGCCUGGCUCUGCCAGACCAGCAGUUAUAGCUACACUUGUGUUGUUUGAUGACCUGUCGCUGCUUCAAAAGGAAAAAAAAUCAAAUUAGAGAGAUGGUGACAACUGAGACCAAGGCCAGAAAUGUUCUUCCCCCACCUGUUCUAACGCCUCAGGUCUCUGCUUAAAUAUCACCUCCUCAGAAAGGCCUUCCCUGAACACCCAGCUUAAAGAUGUUCUCUAGUUUGACCUCUUGUUCAUUUCCUUCAUGGCAUUUCUUAGUCUUGCCAUUUACUGAUCUAUUUAUGUGUUUUUGCCCAUGUUCCUCACUAGAAGGUAAGUUCCAUGAGACCAGGAAUCUUUGACUGUUGUGUACGGCACUGUGUCACCAGAUUUAGUGUUCAAUAAAAACUUGAGUGGAUGAAUGAAUCAGUUAACCAAUUAAUGAAUCUGGCACCGGGCU